GUCUACAGCCAUACCCUCUGAAUUCACCAGAUCUUGUCUGAUCUCAGAAGCUAAGCAGUGUCAGGCCUGGUUAGUACUUGGAUGGGAGACCAUCUGGGAAUACCAGGUGCUGUAGGCU
ensembl:rRNA 5S_rRNA 5S ribosomal RNA